AUUGAACGCUGGCGGCAUGCUUUACACAUGCAAGUCGAACGGCAGCACGGGCUUCGGCCUGGUGGCGAGUGGCGAACGGGUGAGUAAUAUAUCGGAACGUACCCAGAAGUGGGGGAUAACGUAGCGAAAGUUACGCUAAUACCGCAUACGAUCUAUGGAUGAAAGCAGGGGACCGCAAGGCCUUGUGCUCCUGGAGCGGCCGAUAUCGGAUUAGCUAGUUGGUGAGGUAAAGGCUCACCAAGGCGACGAUCAGUAGCUGGUCUGAGAGGACGACCAGCCACACUGGAACUGAGACACGGUCCAGACUCCUACGGGAGGCAGCAGUGGGGAAUUUUGGACAAUGGGCGCAAGCCUGAUCCAGCAAUGCCGCGUGAGUGAAGAAGGCCUUCGGGUUGUAAAGCUCUUUUGUCAGGGAAGAAACGGUAGAGGCUAAUAUCCUGUGCUAAUGACGGUACCUGAAGAAUAAGCACCGGCUAACUACGUG
rnacentral:rRNA from 1 species